rnacentral:rRNA from 1 species
GACGAACGCUGGCGGCGUGCUUAACACAUGCAAGUCGAGCGGUAAGGCCCUUUCGGGGGUACACGAGCGGCGAACGGGUGAGUAACACGUGGGUGACCUGCCCUCAGCUCUGGGAUAAGCCUGGGAAACCGGGUCUAAUACUGGAUAUGACUCCAUGACGCAUGUUGUGGGGUGGAAAGCCUUGUGCGGCUGAGGAUGGGCCCGCGGCCUAUCAGCUUGUUGGUGGGGUGANGGCCUACCAAGGCGACGACGGGUAGCCGGCCUGAGAGGGCGACCGGCCACACUGGGACUGAGACACGGGCCCAGACUCCUACGGGAGGCAGCAGUGGGGAAUCUUGCGCAAUGGGCGAAAGCCUGACGCAGCGACGCCGCGUGAGGGAUGACGGCCUGGUGUAACGUACUUCUA